GAAAUCCUAACCGUGAGCGGAAUUCGUGUGCAUCGGGUACGAAAAACCUGAUCCGUCAUUUUCCUCGAAAUGGAAGAAAGGUAGUUCACAAGUGACUGUAAGAGGUGAUCAUUAUUGACGGAUUAUUUAUUCUGGUCUUUAUCGACAGACAGAAGCAAAUGCAAGAAAAAGUUAUUCAAGGUUGAAACUUGAAGGUGGCUACCUUGCGAAUAAUAGAAAAAGUGGGUUUUACGUCAUCAUUAGUGGUCAGGCCAUAUCAACUCAAUGGUAGAAAUAUGACGAAGCACAGCGCCAUGAAUUGGCCGCAACCUGAACUAAAAGUGUCAUGUGUAACCGUCAAUAUCACGGGCUACCUCAACGGAAGCAUCUGCAGGAAGAUCAUCCACCUCUUUUUCAGGCAAUAACACGGAAGGCACUAUUUUCGUUGUGAAAAAAAUUCGCGGACGCGUGAAGAAUCCUUCGCCCGAAAACGCAGAAAGCAUACUUGAUAACCGCUUUUAUGGAUUUCUCUGUAGGUUAUUUUCGUCAAGAGAGGGUUUGACACUGCUUCUAACUACAAUAUACCGGGCUUUGCGUCUUUCGGAAAUUGGUAAUGCUUCACAUGAUGCGACGAUUGACACCCGAGAACACACCUCCGCUUGUUUAACUUU